rnacentral:rRNA from 1 species
ACGCUCGACACCUACGGGGCAGCAGUGGGGAAUAUUGCACAAUGGGGGAAACCCUGAUGCAGCGACGCCGCGUGAGCGAAGAAGUAUCUCGGUAUGUAAAGCUCUAUCAGCAGGGAAGAAGAUGACGGUACCUGACUAAGAAGCACCGGCUAAAUACGUACCAGCAGCCGCGGUAAUCUGAGCGGGCUGGCAAGGC